rnacentral:rRNA from 1 species
GAUGAACGCUGGCGGCGUGCCUAAUACAUGCAAGUCGAGCGAACAGACGAGGAUCUUUCUCCUCUUACGUUAUCGGCGGACGGGUGUGUAACACGUGUUUAACCUACCUAUAUGACUUGGAUAACUUCGUGAAACCGUAUCUAAUACCGUCUAAUAUAUUUAACCGCUUUGUUCUAUAGUUUAUGUCGGUUUUUCUGUCUCUUCUCGAUGUAUCCGCGCCGCAUUAGCUAGUUGGUAAGGUAACGGCUUACCAAGGCGACGAUGCGUAGCCGACAUGAGAGGGUGAGCGGACACACGGGAAGUGAGACACGGAAAAGAGACCUACGGGAGGCAGCAGUAGGGAAUAUUGCGCAAUGGGCGAAAGCAUGACGGAGCAAAGCGGAGUGAGUGAUGAAGGACUGCGGAGCGUAAAAAUCAGUUAGUAGGGAAGAAAAAAAGUGUAAGAAAAAAUGCAAGAAGUGACGGUAACGAAAAAGAAAGCAACGGCUAACUACGUG